rnacentral:rRNA from 1 species
AGAGUUUGAUCCUGGCUCAGAACGAACGCUGGCGGCGCGUUUUAAGCAUGCAAGUCGAACGGUAGAGUGGGCUUCGGCCCGCUUGAGAGUGGCGAACGGGUGAGUAACACGUAGGUGAUCUACCCUUGGAUUGGGGAUAGCCCAUGGAAACAUGGGGUAAUACCGAAUACGACCUUCUGACCAUGGUUGGUAGGGGAAAGGCGCUAAGGCGCCGUCCGGGGAUGAGCCUGCGCUCCAUUAGCUAGUUGGUGGGGUAAGAGCCUACCAAGGCGACGAUGGAUAGCCGGCCUGAGAGGGUGACCGGCCACACUGGAACUGAGACACGGUCCAGACUCCUACGGGAGGCAGCAGCUAAGAAUCUUCCGCAAUGGGGGAAACCCUGACGGAGCGACGCCGCGUGGACGAUGAAGGCCGAAAGGUUGUAAAGUCCUUUUCUUGGAGAAGAAUAAGGCUGAGAGGGAAUGCUCAGCCGAUGACAUUAGCCAAGGAAUAAGCCCCGGCUAAUUACGUGCCAGCAGCCGCGGUAAUACGUAAGGGGCGAGCGUUGUUCGGAUUUAUUGGGCGUAAAGGGCGCGCAGGCGGUUAUGCAAGUCUGGUGUGAAAUCCGCAGGCUCAACCUGCGAGAUGCGCUGGAAACUGUGUGACUUGAGUUGUGGAGGGGGAGCUGGAAUUCCAGGUGUAGGGGUGAAAUCUGUAGAUAUCUGGAAGAACACCGGUGGCGAAGGCGAGCUCCUGGCCACUGACUGACGCUGAGGCGCGAAAGCGUGGGGAGCGAACAGGAUUAGAUACCCUGGUAGUCCACGCUGUAAACGAUGUGCACUAGGUGUUGGGGGGUCAACCCUCAGUGCCGUAGCGAACGCGAUAAGUGCACCGCCUGGGGAGUAUGCUCGCAAGGGUGAAACUCAAAGGAAUUGACGGGGGCCCGCACAAGCGGUGGAGCAUGUGGUUUAAUUCGAUGAUACGCGAGGAACCUUACCAGGGCUUGACAUAUGCCGGAAGUCGUGAGAGAUCACGGUGCCCCGCAAGGGGCUGGUAUACAGGUGCUGCAUGGCUGUCGUCAGCUCGUGCUGUGAAGUGUUGGGUUAAGUCCCGCAACGAGCGCAACCCCUGCUGUCUGUUGCCACCAGGUAAAGCUGGGAACUCAGACGGGACUGCCGGUGACAAACCGGAGGAAGGUGGGGACGACGUCAAGUCAUCAUGGCCCUUAUGUCCUGGGCUACACACGUGCUACAAUGGCCGGUACAGAGCGCAGCGAAACCGCGAGGUGGAGCCAAUCGCAGAAAACCGGUCUCAGUACAGAUUGAAGUCUGAAACCCGACUUCAUGAAGGUGGAAUCGCUAGUAAUCGCGCAUCAGCAUGGCGCGGUGAAUACGUUCCCGGGCCUUGUACACACCGCCCGUCACACCACCCGAGUUGGGGGUACCCGAAGUCGCUCGUCUAACCUUUACGGGGGGACGGUGCCGAAGGUAUGCCUAGUGAGGGGGGUGAAGUCGUAACAAGGUAGCCGUACUGGAAAGUGCGGCUG